rnacentral:misc_RNA from 1 species
UUAAAACGCAAGUAUGAUUGAACCAAAAAGUGCAUCUAUUUUGAAGUCUAAACCACCCAAUCCAAUCAAAUUUAACGCAAACUAACAUUGCCAUUACGCUAAGAUUCAAGACUGCUACAGUAAAGGCCAUGUCUCAUAUUUAAAAUUAAAAAAAAGGGCAUGGAUGCACAGCAAUGACAGCAUACAAAACUACCAAUCUAAAGCUAUCCGUAGCAUAAUAGACACACUGCAACUACAUCAUGUCCUUGACAGAGCUAAAUCUCUAAUAUACCACCUCAUGAGUCAAAAUCUACAGUUUGAGGAGCAUCAAAGAUGUCACAUGUAUUAUUCAUAACUGAUGCAGGAUACUACUCCUAAUGCAAAAACUAUUUUAGGUACAUUUUUUCCUGAGAAGCAUUGUCAACAUGAUUUGAGAUGUUG